AUCCAGAUGACGAGUCCCGAAUAGGACGAAAUGUGCACCUUGGAU
rnacentral:hammerhead_ribozyme from 1 species